rnacentral:rRNA from 1 species
UGGGGAAUAUUGGACAAUGGGCGCAAGCCUGAUCCAGCCAUGCCGCGUGUGUGAAGAAGGCCUUUUGGUUGUAAAGCACUUUAAGCGAGGAGGAGGCUACUUGGAUUAAUACUCUAGGAUAGUGGACGUUACUCGCAGAAUAAGCACCGGCUAACUCUGUGCCAGCAGCCGCGGUAAUACAGAGGGUGCGAGCGUUAAUCGGAUUUACUGGGCGUAAAGCGUGCGUAGGCGGCUUCUUAAGUCGGAUGUGAAAUCCCUGAGCUUAACUUAGGAAUUGCAUUCGAUACUGGGAAGCUAGAGUAUGGGAGAGGAUGGUAGAAUUCCAGGUGUAGCGGUGAAAUGCGUAGAGAUCUGGAGGAAUACCGAUGGCGAAGGCAGCCAUCUGGCCUAAUACUGACGCUGAGGUACGAAAGCAUGGGGAGCAAACAG